rnacentral:rRNA from 1 species
CCAGGUCCGGACACAGGAAGGAUUGACAGAUUGAUAGCUCUUUCUUAAUUUCUGUGGGUGGUGGUGCAUGGCCGUUCUUAGUUCGUGGAACUGAUCUGUCAGCUUAAUUGCGUUAACGAACGAGUACCUUUAAUUAUUAAUUAGUUAAAUAUAUUUUUUAUAUACUUUAUUUUCUCUUUUUUUAAGAGAAAGAAAACAUGACUUCUUAAAAUAACAAUUGGUGAUUAACCAAAGUAAGUUAAAGGCAAUAACAGGUCUGUGAUGCCCUUUAGAUGUUCUGGGCUGCACGCGCGUUACACUGAAAAUAUCAAUAAGUUUUUAUAUAUCCAAACAAUAAAAUCUUUUUUUCUUGUUUUGAUAUGUCCUUGAUUGAAAAAUUUGGGUAAACUUGAUAACUAUUUUCGUGAUGGG